GACGAACGCUGGCGGCGUGCUUAACACAUGCAAGUCGAACGGUAAGGCCCUUCGGGGUACACGAGUGGCGAACGGGUGAGUAACACGUGGGUGAUCUGCCCUGCACUUCGGGAUAAGCCUGGGAAACUGGGUCUAAUACCGGAUAGGACUCCUGGCUUCAUGGUUGGGGGUGGAAAGCUUUUGCGGUGUGGGAUGGGCCCGCGGCCUAUCAGCUUGUUGGUGGGGUAAUGGCCUACCAAGGCGACGACGGAUAGCCGGCCUGAGAGGGUGACCGGUCACACUGGGACUGAGAUACGGCCCAGACUCCGACGGGAGGCAGCAGUGGGGAAUAUUGCACAAUGGGCGCAAGCCUGAUGCAGCGACGCCGCGUGAGGGAUGACGGCCUUCGGGUUGUAAACCUCUUUCAGCUAUGACGAAGCGCAAGUGACGGUAGUAGCAGAAGAAGGACCGGCCAACUACGUGCCAGCAGCCGCCGCCG
rnacentral:rRNA from 1 species